UGAGCAACUACUGUGCUGUACAUCAGUGGAACGAGGAGGAGAGCCAUUGGAAACACCUUCGAGGCAACAUAAAAGUAAAUGAAUGGUCCAAAAUGGAAAUGGGAAAGGAAAUGGAGGAUGAAUUUGUUUGUGGCUUUUCCAGAUAAACCAGGAUGAGAAGGAAGAAAACAAGGUUGACAGCCUCCUGGUUCAUUGAAAUGACGUGGAAACAACGUUGAUACAACCAGUUUGUGUCCAGUGGGUAUCACAUAUAGUAAACCCCAGACUGACUGGACGGCUCUCAAGUUGAGAAGGUGGUUGACCAUGGAGAUGUCUGAGGACAUUGUUUAUGCCAAUGAAGACGUUAGAGGAAAACAAAGUGUUUCAGGGGACCAUUUUUAUAAUAGAGGAGACGACAUCUAUGAAGACAUUUAUGAAACUCCAGACACCAUCAAGUUUAAUGACUUCAGAAACAAGACUGAGGUUACCCCAAGGAGCAGACCAGGAGCUAAACUCUCAGAGUCUGAGCAACCAGAGAAGAGACCUUUAAGAGCUGCAGCAGUGUGUCUGGGGCUGCUGAGUGUUCUCCUACUGUCUGGGAUCAUAGGACUGUACCUCUACUAUGACAGAGUAUAUAACAACCUGACUGAGGAGAGGGACCAGUUACAGACCCGUUACAACAACCUGACUGAGGAGAGAGACCAGUUACAGACCAGUUACAACAAUCUGACUGAGGAGAGGGACCAGUUACAAACCAGUUACAACAAUCUGACUGAGGAGAGAGACCUGUUGGUUUGGAGAGCUGAGAGAAGCGGUUGUCCUGUUGGGUGGAGGAAGUUUGACUGCAGCUGUUACUUCCUCUCCAUCGUGUCUAAAACCUGGGAGGAGAGCAGACAGGACUGUCUGAAUAGAGGAGGAGACCUGGUGAUCAUCCAAAGCAGAGAGGAACAGGUGGACUCCAAUCAAGUGGUAAAAAUAUCUCAAGGAUGAUCAAUGGAAACAGGAUGCACCUGAGGUCAAUUUCCAGUCUCAUAGAAAGGGUCUGAAUAGUUAUCUAAAUAAGGACCACAUAAAAACGUUUAAGGUGAUGUCCUGGAUUGGUCUGACUGAUGAAGAUAGUGAGGGUCUCUGGACGUGGGUGAACAACACACAGCUAACUACAGCAGAGUACUGGCAUCCUGAUGAACCGAAUGGUGGAAGAGAGGAGAACUGUGGAAUGAUUCAGAUGAAUUAUGAUGCCUGGAAUGACACCUCGUGCUCUGCAGCGCUCCCCUGGAUAUGUGAGAAAUAUGCAUAUUGUUAGGUUCUAAAAGAACCUAGUAAAAGUCACGACGAUUAGUUAAACUUUAACCAAGUUUAUUCACCCAUUGGGUCAUACAAUUGCAUAAGACAAAGACAUGGUUCCAUCAAUGGUAGUAUAUAUACACCCCAAUUUGGCUGACGUCCUCCUCUCUAAACGUAACUUCCUGCCUAGCAAAAAAUAUGUAAAGUGAUGAGGGUAAUAAACUAUUACUUCUCCUUUACCAUGACCUUCACUAAUCCACAGCUCGCCACCAUUACCAGUCACUGCAGUCAUGUAAUGUCCUCUACUCAGGACCUCCCACAUCCCCCUGGCUCCUAUCCAACCUUCAUUGACCCAACCAUAUAAAUUCCUCCUACAGAUACCCCUUAACUUCUGGUGUAGAAACCAGAUUAUGGCACUCCUCAUGUCUCUAGCAUAACUGAUGAUUAACAAUAUUUAAAGUUUAGAAAUCCCAACCCAUCAAUAUGCUUAAGAGACGCAGCUCAUAUAAUCUAUGCGUGCAAACACGGCCUACCUGAGUGAUCUAGUUGAACCGCUCUACUCAGCAACGACACCAUGUUGUUUGGCCAGUCUGUAAAUGACAGUCGUCUCUAUGAGCUCAUUCACAACGAUCAUGUCACUCUCUGUAUCAAACCUGCUGUCUCCCUUCCACCACAUCCUGAACAGUGAAGUCAUCAUUACUUAGUCUGAGCUGACCAAGGACUGUACACACGCUGACACUUUAUUUAUACACUGCAAUUGAGAAACGUUUGUCGACAUUGUUAAGCCAUAGAGUAGUUUGUUGUUUUAUGCUUUUAUUUUGCUUUGUCAGUUUAUUUUUUGAUUGCUGUUGAGACAACUUUUAUCACAUGUGGUUAUGUAUUUCUUGACCUGCCUUAUGAUAUACUUUAAUACUGUAUGCUGUUUUUUAGUCUUGUGCAAAUAAAAGGAAAUACAUCAAUUCAGAUAA